GCCUGGGUGGCUCAGUCGGUUGAGCGUCCGACUUCGGCUCAGGUCAUGAUCUCGCGGUCCGUGGGUUCGAGCCCCAUGUCAGGCU
rfam:Felis catus isolate Cinnamon breed Abyssinian chromosome A1, whole genome shotgun sequence.